rnacentral:rRNA from 1 species
AGAGUUUGAUCCUGGCUCAGGAUGAACGCUAGCUACAGGCUUAACACAUGCAAGUCGAGGGGCAGCAUGAACUUAGCUUGCUAAGUUUGAUGGCGACCGGCGCACGGGUGAGUAACACGUAUCCAACCUGCCGAUGACUCGGGGAUAGCCUUUCGAAAGAAAGAUUAAUACCCGAUGGCAUAGUUCUUCCGCAUGGUAGAACUAUUAAAGAAUUUCGGUCAUCGAUGGGGAUGCGUUCCAUUAGGUUGUUGGCGGGGUAACGGCCCACCAAGCCUUCGAUGGAUAGGGGUUCUGAGAGGAAGGUCCCCCACAUUGGAACUGAGACACGGUCCAAACUCCUACGGGAGGCAGCAGUGAGGAAUAUUGGUCAAUGGACGAGAGUCUGAACCAGCCAAGUAGCGUGAAGGAUGACUGCCCUAUGGGUUGUAAACUUCUUUUAUAUGGGAAUAAAGUGAGCCACGUGUGGCUUUUUGUAUGUACCAUACGAAUAAGGAUCGGCUAACUCCGUGCCAGCAGCCGCGGUAAUACGGAGGAUCCGAGCGUUAUCCGGAUUUAUUGGGUUUAAAGGGAGCGUAGAUGGAUGUUUAAGUCAGUUGUGAAAGUUUGCGGCUCAACCGUAAAAUUGCAGUUGAUACUGGAUGUCUUGAGUGCAGUUGAGGCAGGCGGAAUUCGUGGUGUAGCGGUGAAAUGCUUAGAUAUCACGAAGAACUCCGAUUGCGAAGGCAGCCUGCUGGACUGUAACUGACGCUGAUGCUCGAAAGUGUGGGUAUCAAACAGGAUUAGAUACCCUGGUAGUCCACACAGUAAACGAUGAAUACUCGCUGUUUGCGAUAUACAGUAAGCGGCCAAGCGAAAGCGUUAAGUAUUCCACCUGGGGAGUACGCCGGCAACGGUGAAACUCAAAGGAAUUGACGGGGGCCCGCACAAGCGGAGGAACAUGUGGUUUAA